ACGGGUGAGUAACACGUAGGCAACCUGCCUAAAGGAUCGGGAUAACUAUCGGAAACGAUAGCUAAGACCGAAUAAUUGGCGCACUCGCAUGAGAGCGCCAUGAAACACGGAGCAAUCUGUGGCCUAUGGAUGGGCCUGCGGCGCAUUAGCUAGUAGGUAAGGUAACGGCUCACCUAGGCGACGAUGCGUAGCCGACCUGAGAGGGUGAACGGCCACACUGGGACUGAGACACGGCCCAGACUCCUACGGGAGGCAGCAGUAGGGAAUCUUCCGCAAUGGACGCAAGUCUGACGGAGCAACGCCGCGUGAGUGAUGAAGGUUUUCGGAUCGUAAAGCUCUGUUGCCCUAGACGAACGAGUCAGAGAGUAACUGCUCUGGCUGUGACGGUAUAGGAGAAGAAAGCCCCGGCUAACUACGUGCCAGCAGCCGCGGUAAUACGUAGGGGGCAAGCGUUGUCCGGAAUUAUUGGGCGUAAAGCGCGCGCAGGCGGUUCAGUAAGUUGGAUGUUUAAUGCCGGGGCUCAACCCCGGUACGCAUCCAAAACUGGUGGACUUGAGUGUAGGAGAGGAAAGUGGAAUUCCACGUGUAGC
rnacentral:rRNA from 1 species